GCUUGGGUGGCUCAGUUGUUAAGCAUCUGACUUCGCCUCAGGUCAUGAUCUUGCGAUCUGUGGGUUCGAACCCCACAUCGGGCU
rnacentral:tRNA from 1 species